GUAAAUUUCAAAGAUGAGUCCUCAAUCCAUAUCUUCGAUGUAGAGUUUUGGAUAGAUUGAUUAAAACAAAAAAAAUUACUUAAGUACUAAAACAUUUUUAAAACUGCUACUACAAUUCGGCCAAAAAGACAUGUUCAUUCACGAUCACCACCUCAUGCACACAAGGCAGUCUACGGGAGACACGAUUUUUCACAUCAUCCUUUCUUACAUCCACAUGUACAAGCUUCUGACAAAAUGAUGAGGCCUCAGAAAGAGUUUUUUUAAAAGGGAUCCUCUUUGUCCCUUCGCCAUCCAUUAGCGCCUGGACUGGGUAGCAUAAGAGCCAAUUCCAAGCUCGUCCCCCUAAAUACCUGCCUUAGUAUAUUGCACGUUUUACAUGCUGGAAAAGACUAGAUCAAGUUGAGGGAAUAGCCUCAAUUAGCCUUCCCUUUUGCGCAAAUAGUUAUUUUCUUGCUUCGUUAACCAUGUUAACCCAAUCUGUUAAAUUUGUGGUGCGAUCUUAUAGUAAAACCCCGGUGAUUUAGGUUGAUCAAUCAUCAUUCUUUAUGUUAAAGUCACAUUUUCAAAUGCCAUCAAUGUCUCACACGCAGUCUUUUUUCUUUUCAAGCAAAGAUAGAACUGUAUCACAACUGGUAAAGGCAUGGAUCACAAUAAGUGUGUGUGAUCACUCAUUGCCUAGUGCAUUUGAAAGGUCAUUGAUAGAUAUUAAUUCAAAGUUUUUUGCCCCUCCCAAACACAAUCCAUAGUUCGUCUACCCCUAUGUCACGGAGAAGCGAAACAGUAAUGACAGCAUCAUCAGUAACGACUGUUCGAAUCAUGACUCGUUUAAGUUCGUGUUUCACUGCAUCAGAUACAUGCACCAUGAUUCUAGUGUCUGCCUCUUAAUGUGAACAUAGUGCUAAACUUGAAAUACAUAACGUGGUGGAUAAGAUAGAAUAUCCUGAACAUUUGUU
rnacentral:lncRNA from 1 species